UACGUAGGGGGGCUAGCGUUGUCCGGAUUUAUUGGGGCGUAAAGAGCGUGUAGGCGGCCCAGGUAGGUCUGGUGUGAAAACUCGAGGCUUAACCUCGAGAUGUCAUCGGAAACCAUCUGGCUAGAGUCCGGAAGAGGAGAGUGGAAUUCCUGGUGUAGCGGUGAAAUGCGCAGAUAUCGUAAGGAAGACCAGUGGCGAAGGCGAAUCUCUGGACAGUUACUGACACUGAGGCACGAAGGCCAGGGGGAGCAAACGGG
rnacentral:rRNA from 1 species